GACGAACGCUGGCGGCGUGCUUAACACAUGCAAGUCGAACGGAAAGCCCUUGAAUCUUUCGUGUGUCCGACUGGGGAACGAGCGGGUGAGUCAUGCGUAAUCAGCCUGCCCUUCUGGGGGAACCACCGGUAACUGGGGCUUGCUCCUGCCGCAUGCUCUCUCUGCUUGGCGUCGGUUGGAAAUUAACGGCGGCUGGGGAUGGUAUCGCGGCACAUCAGCUUGUGGGUGGGGUAGUGGCUCACCAUGGCUUUGUCGGGUAGCCGGACUGAGAGGGUGACAGGCCACAUUGGGACUGAGAUACGAGCAAGACUGCUACGGGAGGAAGCGGUGGGAAAUAGUGCACGAUGGGCGGAGGCCUGAAGGAGCGACGCCGCGUGCGGGAGGACGGCCUUCGGGUUGGAAACCGCUUUCGCCUGUGACGAAGAGUGAGUGACGGUAAUGGGUAAAGAAGCACCGGCUAACUACGUG
rnacentral:rRNA from 1 species